GGCCAUAGCUCAAUGGUACAGCAUCUGAUUUGCAUGCAGAAGGUCCCAGGUUCAAUCCCCAGGUAGGGCUU